rnacentral:rRNA from 1 species
AUUGAACGCUGGCGGCAGGCCUAACACAUGCAAGUCGAGCGAGCGGCGGACGGGUGAGUAAUGUCUGGGAAACUGCCUGAUGGAGGGGGAUAACUACUGGAAACGGUAGCUAAUACCGCAUACCAUCAGAUGUGCCCAGAUGGGAUUAGCUGGUAGGUGGGGUAACGGCACACCUAGGCGACGAUCCCUAGCUGGUCUGAGAGGAUAACCAGCCCCACUGUAACUGAGACACGGCCCAGACGCCUACGGGAGGCAGAAGUGGGGAAUAUUGCAAAAUGGGCGCAAGCCUGCGGCAGCCAUGCCGAGUGUGUGAAGAAGGCCUUCGGGUUGUAAAGCACUUUCAGCGGGGAGGCGUUACCCGCAGAAGAAGCACCGGCUAACUCCGUGCCAGCAGCCGCGGUAAUUC